rnacentral:rRNA from 1 species
CCUACGGGUGGCUGCAGUGGGGAAUAUUGGACAAUGGGGGCAACCCUGAUCCAGCCAUGCCGCGUGUGUGAAGAAGGCCCUCGGGUUGUAAAGCACUUUCAGUGAGGAAGAACGCCUGGUGGUUAAUACCCAUCAGGAAAGACAUCACUCACAGAAGAAGCACCGGCUAACUCCGUGCCAGCAGCCGCGGUAAUACGGAGGGUGCGAGCGUUAAUCGGAAUUACUGGGCGUAAAGCGCGCGUAGGUGGCUUGAUAAGCCGGUUGUGAAAGCCCCGGGCUCAACCUGGGAACGGCAUCCGGAACUGUCAAGCUAGAGUGCAGGAGAGGAAGGUAGAAUUCCCGGUGUAGCGGUGAAAUGCGUAGAGAUCGGGAGGAAUACCAGUGGCGAAGGCGGCCUUCUGGACUGACACUGACACUGAGGUGCGAAAGCGUGGGUAGCAAACAGGAUUAGAUACCCCAGUAGUA